rnacentral:rRNA from 1 species
GACGAACGCUGGCGGCGUGCUUAACACAUGCAAGUCGAACGAUGAAGAGGAGAAACGCGCACUUCGGUUCAAAUUUCACUUCGGAUUAGUGGCAGACGGGUGAGUAACGCGUGAGCAACCUACCUCUUACAAAGGGAUAGCCUCGGGAAACCGUGAUUAAUACCAUAUGACACAUUCAUAAGGCAUCUUAAGAAUGUUAAAGCUACGGCGGUAAGAGAUGGGCUCGCGUCCCAUUAGCUAGUUGGUGAGGUAACGGCCCACCAAGGCGACGAUGGGUAACCGGCCUGAGAGGGUGAACGGUCACAUUGGAACUGAGACACGGUCCAAACUCCUACGGGAGGCAGCAGUGGGGAAUAUUGCACAAUGGAGGGAACUCUGAUGCAGCGACGCCGCGUGAGCGAUGAAGGAAUUCGUUUCGUAAAGCUCUGUUCUAUGGGAAGAAAAGGACUGUACCAUAGGAGAAAGCCCCGGCUAAAUACGUG